UAAUGUCAAUAAAAAAGUUGUUAUAUUAAUAGAAGGUGAAAUUUAUAAUUUUAUUAUAAUAACUAUUUAAAGUGUUAAAUAUUUUAAUUAUUAAGGCUGUGACAUAAACCAGGAUUAGAUACCCUGUUAUACUAUGCUGUCAAUACAUUACUUGAGUAGUAAUCAGUUAUGAUCUUGAAACUUAAAGGAUUUGGCGGUAUUCAAGUCUAGUUAGAGGAACCUGCCCUAUAAGCGAUAUGCCACGUAGUAUCUUACUUUUAUUUGUUAUUCAGUUUGUAUACCGCCAUUAGUAAGUAAUGUUAAUAAACAUGUUCUAAAAUAAUAAUAAUAUUUGGUAUAUUAGGUCAAGGUGCAGCUAAUAUAAAAGAAGAGGUGGGUUACAAUAUAAUAUAUAUGCGGAUAAAUAAAUUAUAAUUAUUUUGAAGUUGGAUUUAAUAGUAAUAUUAUUUUAAUAAGUUAGUUUGAUAAAAGCUCUAGAAUAUGCACACAUCGCCCGUCGCUCUCAUUA
rnacentral:rRNA from 1 species